GAUGAACGCUGGCGGCGUGCCUAAUACAUGCAAGUCGAGCGAACAGAUGAGGAGCUUGCUCCUCUGACGUUAGCGGCGGACGGGUGAGUAACACGUGGAUAACCUACCUAUAAGACUGGGAUAACUUCGGGAAACCGGAGCUAAUACCGGAUAAUAUAUUGAACCGCAUGGUUCAAUAGUGAAAGACGGUUUUGCUGUCACUUAUAGAUGGAUCCGCGCCGCAUUAGCUAGUUGGUAAGGUAACGGCUUACCAAGGCAACGAUGCGUAGCCGAGCUGAGAGGGUGAUCGGCCACACUGGAACUGAGACACGGUCCAGACUCCUAAGGGAGGCAGCAGUAGGGAAUCUUCCGCAAUGGGCGAAAGCCUGACGGAGCAAAGCCGCGUGAGUGAUGAAGGUCUUCGGAUCGUAAAACUCUGUUAUUAGGGAAGAACAAAUGUGUAAGUAACUAUGCACGUCUUGACGGUACCUAAUCAGAAAGCCACGGCUAACUACGUG
rnacentral:rRNA from 1 species